rnacentral:rRNA from 1 species
GGAAGUGGGGAUGACGUCAAAUCAUCAUGCCCCUUAUGUUCUGGGCUACACACGUGCUACAAUGGCCGGUACAGACGGACGCAAAGCCGCGAGGUGGAGCAAAUCCUAAAAAGCCGGUCUCAGUUCGGAUUGCAGGCUGCAAUUCGCCUGCAUGAAGUCGGAAUCGCUAGUAAUCGCAGGUCAGCGUACUGCGGUGAAUACGUUCCCGGGCCGUU